GACAGGUGGUGCAUGGUUGUCGUCAGCUCGUGUCGUGAGAUGUUGGGUUAAGUCCGCUAACGAGCGCAACCCUCGUCGUGUGUUAUACGUGUCACACGAUACUGCCGGUAUCAAGCCGGAGGAAGGUGGGGAUGAUGUCAAGUCAGCAUGGCCUUUAUAUCCUGGGCUACACACACGCUACAAUGGCAGAUACAAUAGGUUGCGAAACCGCGAGGUGGAGCCAAUCCUCAAAGUCUGUCUCAGUUCAGAUUGUAGGCUGCAACUCGCCUGCAUGAAGUUGGAGUUGCUAGUAAACGCAGGUCAGCUAUACUGCGUUGAAUACGUUCCCGGGGUUU
rnacentral:rRNA from 1 species